AGAGUGAACGCUGGCGGCAGGCCUAACACAUGCAAGUCGAACGGCAGCACAGGGGAGCUUGCUCCCUGGGUGGCGAGUGGCGGACGGGUGAGGACAACGUCGGAAUCUGCCUUUUUGUGGGGGAUAACGUAGGGAAACUUACGCUAAUACCGCAUACGACCCGGGCGGAGGUUCGGGUGAAAGCGGAGGACCUUCGGGCUUCGCGCAGAAAGAUGAGCCGACGUCGGAUUAGCUAGUUGGUGGGGUAAAGGCCCACCAAGGCGACGAUCCGUAGCUGGUCUGAGAGGAUGAUCAGCCACACUGGAACUGAGACACGGUCCAGACUCCUACGGGAGCAGCAGUGGGGAAUAUUGGACAAUGGGGGAAACCCUGAUCCAGCCAUGCCG
rnacentral:rRNA from 1 species